UACGGGGGGGGCAAGCGUUGUUCGGAAUUACUGGGCGUAAAGGGCGCGUAGGCGGCCUGCUAAGUCGGAUGUGAAAUCCCUCGGCUCAACCGAGGAACUGCAUCCGAUACUGGCGGGCUUGAAUCCGGGAGAGGGAUGUGGAAUUCCAGGUGUAGCGGUGAAAUGCGUAGAUAUCUGGAGGAACACCGGUGGCGAAGGCGGCAUCCUGGACCGACACUGACGCUGAGGAGCGAAAGCCAGGGGAGCAAACGGG
rnacentral:rRNA from 1 species